UACGAGGGGUGCAAGCGUUGCUCGGAAUUAUUGGGCGUAAAGGGUAGGUAGGUGGUCUCAUUUGUCCGGGGUGAAAGCCUUGAGCUUAACUCAAGAAGUGCCCCGGAAACGGUGAGACUCGAGUACUGGAGAGGGUCGUGGAAUUCCCGGUGUAGCGGUGAAAUGCGUAGAGAUCGGGAGGAACACCAAUGGCGAAGGCAGCUCGCUGGGACGGUACUGACGCUAAGGCGCGAAAGCGUGGGGAG
rnacentral:rRNA from 1 species